rnacentral:rRNA from 1 species
GGUACGAAAGCGUGGGGAGCAAACAGGAAAGAUACCCUGGUAGUCCACGCCGUAAACGAUGUCUGUAGUUGUUCGAGUCAUUCCGACGUGAGUAACGCAGCUAACGCACUAAGUUGACCGCCUGGGGAGUACCGCCGCCAGGAUAAAACUCAAAUGAAUUGACGGGGGCCCGCACAAACGGUGGAGCAUGUGGUUUAAUUCCAUGCAACCCCAAAAAACUUACCAUCCCUUGACAUCCCUUGAAUUUUUCUAAAAUGAAUUAGUGCCUUCUGGAACACUGAAACGAGUGCUGCAUGGCUGUCGUCAGCUCCUGUUGUGAGAUGUUGGGUUAAGUCCCCCAACAACCGCAACCCUUAUCCUUAUUUGCCGCCACCUUUAGGUGGGAACUCUGGGGAGACUGGCGGUGAUCAACCGGAGGAAGGGGGGGACUAACUCCAGUCAUCCUGGCCCUUUAUGGAUGGGCUACACACGUGCUACAAUGGCACAUACCAAAGGCAUGAAGCAACCCAUGGUUAGCGAAUCUCAUAAGUGCGUUCGUAGUCUCGGAUCUGUAGUCUGCAACUCGACUCACGAUGAAGUCUGAAUCGCUAGUAAUCGUC